CCCCUAGAUGUUCUGGGCCGCACGCGCGCUACACUGAACAGUUCAACAAGUCUUAACCUUGGCCGAUAGGUCUGGGUAAUCUUUGAACGCUGUUCGUGAUUGGGAUAGACCUUUGCAAUUAUGGGUCUUCAACGAGGAAUUCCUAGUAAACGCAAGUCAUCAGCUUGCACUGAUUACGUCCCUGCCCUUUGUACACACCGCCCGUCGCACCUACCGAUUGAAUGGUCCGGUGAAAUCUCGGGACGGCGGCUUGGUCGCUUGCGUCCGACUGCUGAAACUUGAUUAAACCAUAUCAUUUAGAGGAAGGUGAAGUCGUANCA
rnacentral:rRNA from 1 species